CCUACGGGUGGCAGCAGUGGGGAAUAUUGGACAAUGGGCGAAAGCCUGAUCCAGCAAUGCCGCGUGAGUGAUGAAGGCCUUAGGGUUGUAAAGCUCUUUUACCAGGGAUGAUAAUGACAGUACCUGGAGAAUAAGCUCCGGCUAACUCCGUGCCAGCAGCCGCGGUAAUACGGAGGGAGCUAGCGUUGUUCGGAAUUACUGGGCGUAAAGCGCACGUAGGCGGUUUUUCAAGUCAGGGGUGAAAGCCCGGAGCUCAACUCCGGAAUUGCCCUUGAAACUGGAUGACUAGAAUCUUGGAGAGGUCAGUGGAAUUCCGAGUGUAGAGGUGAAAUUCGUAGAUAUUCGGAAGAACACCAAUGGCGAAGGCAGUUACCUGGCUCAAUACUGACGCUAAAGCACGAAAGUGUGGGGAGCAAACAGGAUUAGAUACCCUGGUAGUC
rnacentral:rRNA from 1 species